AUUGAACGCUGGCGGAAUGCUUUACACAUGCAAGUCGAGCGGCAGCGCGGGGCAACCUGGCGGCGAGCGGCGAACGGGUGAGUAAUGCAUCGGAACAUGUCCAUGUCGUGGGGGAUAGCCCGGCGAAAGCCGGAUUAAUACCGCAUACGCCCGAGAGGGGAAAGUGGGGGACCGCAAGGCCUCACGCGAUUGGGUUGGCCGAUGUCCGAUUAGCUAGUUGGCGGGGUAAAGGCCCACCAAGGCGAUGAUCGGUAGCUGGUCUGAGAGGAUGAUCAGCCACACUGGGACUGAGACACGGCCCAGACUCCUACGGGAGGCAGCAGUGGGGAAUUUUGGACAAUGGGGGCAACCCUGAUCCUGCCAUUCCGCGUGAGUGAAGAAGGCCUUCGGGUUGUAAAGCUCUUUUGUCCGGAACGAAACGGUGGGCGUGAAUAGCGUCCAUUACUGACGGUACCGGAAGAAUAAGCACCGGCUAACUACGUGCCAGCAGCCGCGGUAAU
rnacentral:rRNA from 1 species